rnacentral:lncRNA from 1 species
AUUUUACUAAAAUAUAUGGAUCAAAAUAGGCAAACUCAUCGCCAAUACAAUAAUUAAACCCUCCUCAGAGGCCAUAACAUAGCCAAUUACAAAUCAAAGUAGAAACAUAAAUUCUUACUUUUACAACGAUAUGCAUUAUAUCACAAUGACCAACAAAUCCUAUUUGCUCAACAAUCACCAAAACGGAAAGGGUUUUCUGGGUUUUUCUUUUCCUGGAGAAAGCUCUCGGUUAGCGCAGAUUCAGUUAUACAAGAGGCUACCAGGAGUCCAGAAGCCUGCAGGCAGUAUCAAACAAGUGCACAGUGAGAUCAAGGAAGGAAUAUAUAACAUAGGUACAAUUGCAAUCUUUCUAUUAGAAACAGAUAGGGGUAUCAGUUACCUCUUCGUUCCCUACAUACACAACGCGCUCCUCAAUGUCAUUGAAAGGUACAUUCAAUUUGUUUAAAAUAGAUAUACCUGAGACUGGGGAUAUGGGUGUUACAAUCAGAUCAUCUGUUACUGUGAACAUAGCAGGUUUCAUCACAAAUCCUCCACAAGCUUUAGCUUUCUUGUUCGGUGAUUUAGGAUCUUUUACAGUUAAAGCACCUACUCUUUGGCUAGAAGGUUCAUUAUCCAUAAAAAAACAAGGAUUACCAAGGCAAUCAAGUACAUAGUAGUACUGCUGGUGGCUAGCUUCCUCCACCCCUAGCAGCUGUUUCUCAUAGCCAAAAUCAGGAGCAAUCUUGGGACUAAGUAAAAUCUCCUUGUGGUCAUCUGACUUGAAGUAUUUCUUACUAUCAAGAUCCUUAAUACAAUUAUAUAAAUGAUUUAUGCAUCCUUUUGAAGGAGAGCCAUUCAUCUUUUUGAUUAUAAAACCAAGAGGAAUGGUAAGGAAACUAAAGAGUAAAUCAACAAAAUCUUCUCCAACUUCUGCAUAGCACAUCCUUUUCUUGGAUUUGCUAAGCACAAGCCUCACACAAAUCUUCCCAUUUUCUUUUGAUGCACUUUCGCCAAUUUGACAUUUAAAAUUAAGGCUCGAUUGAUCCGAAGUUUCAGUGCCUAGUUCAGAUAAUUCUUUAGGCUUCAACAGAGUUUUGGUCAAAGGAAAUUUUGAUAUAAAUAAGCUUUUCUGCAAACUCAAGACCUGAAUCAACAAAAGAAAGCCAUGAAUUGUCGUAAAACUAGUCUAUCUAUCACAAAGCAAAUCAUCAAUUUUGUCACUUACCUCGUUUAAUCCAAUGUCAAAGAUUCUCUCCUCAAUGGAGGUCGCAUCCAGGAUUCCAAGCUUGGAAAUCAACGGAAAGCUUGCUGCAGUUGAUGCAUGCAUCACCUGUAAUUCAUCACUUAUUACAAAACGAGCAUGUUCUUUAACAAAAACUCCUCCAUCUAACGAUUCCUUUGACCCAAUAGUAUCCACGAAGGCUGAAGAGUUCAUGGCUUUUCCACAGCCACAACAGCUACCUGCGUACUGACUCAGUAACUUACACUUAGACCUUAUGCAACUGGAGUCCCCACAGUAAAAGUAGGUUGGAGACUCACUAUCAAUUUUCAGUUUCAAGUCCUUAUACUGAGUUGCAGACCCAUUUUUAGGGCGUAGCAGCAUUGUCUUACAUGCUUCAGUUCUGAAACGUUUGACAUCAAGAUUUUCAACACUUGCAUACAAGUUGUUCAUACAACCUAUCGCUGUGAUUGGUUGCUGAUUAUUUGUGAGCCUGACGAUGGUUCCAAUAGGCAUUGUCAAAAAACUAAAGAGAACAUCAGCGAAAUCCUCAUCAGAUUCCGCAAAUAUUAUUCUGUCGUUUGCCUUGUCAACUAAUGCCUUCAACUCAAUAGAAAUUUUUGUUCAGAUGGUAACCCACGCGGUUUGGAAUCUGCAAUUAUAUGAACAACUCAAAAUCACAAACAGAUAUCUGCAAUAUUUUUUUCUUCUUGGAAGGAACAUACAUAGUUCUUAGAAAAGUUGCCCUAGAUAACAAGUGCUCAAAAUGCUAACUGGCAGCUCCUGAUUAAUUAAUCAUAAAAGAAGUUCUUUAAAAAAAAAAAGAAAGGAAAUACAUAUUUGAUUCGUGGAGGAAAAUCACAGAAAUAAAGUUCAUCCCAAUCAAUAAUAUUAGAAAACAAUGGAAAACAGAAAGACUAACAGAAAACACAACAACAAAAAUAAAUCAUUGGUUGGCCUUUUUGAUCAUUAUUUAAUGGUGUAUAAGCUACAUAAGUUGAGAUGUUAUCCACUGACUGCAAGUUUAAGCAGAUAGGUUCCAACAAGAGUAAAGAACUGUGUAUUUAUAAACUUCUUAUUGCCUUCCUUCAGAAGAAAGUGCAGAUAUAUAUAUGCCUGACUCAACUCUUGGAAUCCUCUCAUGUUGUAUCCCAGCCGUUGAUUUGAGAGAAUCAACGGUAUGAAGUCAUCUUUGGAAAUAGCACAAUAGGUGAUAUGAAAAGAUUACGAGAGAGAAUUGAAAAUAAUAUCAAGCCAUAAUAAAUUUAGUUUUAUACUAUCAAGGUACGAAACAUGUAUUAAAUCUUAAAUUUAGUUUAAGAGGUAAUUAAUUUCCUAAUACUAAGCCAAUAGAAUGGUAAGUAUAGUAACCUUGUAAUUAUGCCUUGCAAAUGAAUUCAAUGGAAGAUGUGAUUUGCUGACAGAGAUGCUUCUUCUCAUUGGGUUAAUGGGUUUGCUGCAAAUUUGGGUGUGUGCUCUCUCUAUCCCAACGGCGGAGCUGUGGGUUGUUCAUGAAGAGUUGAACGUGGCUAAAAGAUAUGGUCUUGCUUCUUUUUUUCUAGAAUGCAAAAUUGAGUUUGUUGUGAGAUUGAUCAGAGGCGAAGUUUCUGUUCCUGUUAGUUUUCAACCGCUAGUGAUUUCUAUCAAGUAUCUUCUCGAGGAGUUUGCUUUUGGUCUGGUUUCUCAAAUUUAUAGAGAAACGAAUAUGUGCGCAUAUUGGCUUGCUUGCUAUGUGAGUAAUCUUCCAAUGGGUGUUAAUGGUCUUCUUGCUUGUCCCUCCUUGCUUCCUCGCGAAGUUAUGGGCGUAGCCUACUAUAGGCUUUAUAUCAAAGCUUUUGCUUUUUUUUCUACCAAAAAAGAAAAAAAUAUUGCAAACAUGUUAUAACUUGUAUGUUUUUUUUUUUUAAACCACCUGUAUCUAUCUGGAUUUCUUUAUUAGAAACCGAACCACCUAAUUCGUAAGAGUGAGCAUUGCAUUCCGUUAAGGUAACUCAAUUUGAAAUCAAGGGGUAAAAAAGAUACAACUCGAAUUAAAUUAGUUAGUUUAGUUUUGAAUUCUUUAAGUUUAAUUUUGAUGGAGAAUCUAGUAUAAGCACAUUUUUAAAUCACGGCCAAACCAUUAAAAAAACUUUCAAACUUUGCUAAAUCUAACUUUUUUCUUCACCCGAAACUUGUAUAUUACUUAUAUUAACAUUCUAAAUGCAUCUACUUGAUUUAAUGGAUAAAAAAUUAUUUUUAUGGAGUCCACAAUUUCUCUCAUGGUCAGGUUAACAUAAGGAAUGAGUUAAUCAAAAAUACAUCGUUUCAAACUUUUCCAUCACCUACAUCAGCCAAUCACAUUUUUCGGUUAUUAUUCGAUAGGAAGGAAGCAAUUAUUGUCUUUUCAUUCUCCUAAACCAUAACCCUCGAUCAAUUUUAUCAUUUAACCAAUUUUCCUAAGCAAAAUGAAGAGAAGAAAAUUAUACAUAAAAUUUCACUUGCAUUUUCAGGCUAAAAAAUGACGAGAUAAGGACCGACCUCCUUUUGUUCCUUAGUAGCAUCAGCAAAAACUUUAAAUUAAAAAAAAAAUGGUGUUCUCCUCUUGACAGCUAUAAAGGCAACCAUGGACCCCGGUGAAGCCAAACCUUCUUCUGCAAAGACAUUUGAUUACUUAAUUAGGUUCUAAGACAUUUCUUUAUUCUUCCAAAGCUUAUCUCUUAUAUUAAUUUCAAGUUUUACUUGGUUGUUGAUGAGAUUGCAUAAAUUGGAGUUUUUGGAAAUCGGAGAUUUUCAUUAUAUCGGCCAAAUUGAAGCUUAUUUGUUAAAACACAUUUUAGUUAAAUAAUUGUAUUAUUUAAAAUAUCAAACCAUAAUAAAUUUAGUUUGACAAUAUCAAGCCACAGUACAUUUAUCACAUCUUAAAUUUAGUUUCAGUAGGUAAUUACAUUUCCUAAUGCCAAACCAAUAGAAUGUUAUGUAUAGUAAUAACCUUUUACUUUCAAAUGUAAAUUCUGCCUUGUAAAUGAAUUCAUUGGAUAAUGUUAUUUAAUUACAUGUUUGACAACUUUAAAUUCAGUCUUGCCAACCGGUCACUCAAUCUUCGCUAGUCACAAAUCAUGAGUGACCAAAUUGUAAGAGUUAGGUAUUUAUAAUUGCAAUUUAUCAUGCAUACAAGUGAUUCGUACAAACUAACAUUGUCGUUUAAAGAACGAAAGGGUAGAAUGAAUACAAACAAUUCCUCAGUUACUUGUAUAUAAACGACAAAAACAGAAUUUUACUAAAAUAUAUGGAUCAAAAUAGCCAAACUCAUCGCCAAUACAAUAAUUAAACCCUCCUCAGAGGCCAUAACAUAGCCAAUAACAAAUCAAAGUAGAAACAUAAAUUCUUACUUUUACAACGAUAUCCAUUAUAUCACAAUGACCAACAAAUCCUAUUUGCUCCAAUAUGAUCAAAACGGAAAGGGUUUUCUGGGUUUUUCUUUUCCUGGAGAAAGCUCUCGGUUAGUGCAGAUUCAGAUAAAAAAGGGGCUACCAGGAGCCGAGAAGCCUGCAGGCAGUAUCAAACACGUGCACAGUGAGAUCAAGGAAGGAAUAUACAUAGGUACAGUUGCAAUCUUUCUAUUAGAAACAGAUAGGGGUAUCAAUUACCUCUUCGUUCCCUACAUACACGACGCGCUCCUCAAUGUCAUUGAAAGGUACAUUCAAUUUGUUUAAAAUAGACGUACCUGAGACUAGGGAUAUGGGUGUUACAAUCAGAUCAUCUGUUACUGUGAACGUAGCAGGUUUCAUCACAAAUCCUCCACAAGCUUUACCUUUCUUGUUCGGUGAUUUAGGAUCUUUUACAGUUAAAGCAAUUACUCUUUUGCCAGAAGGUUCAUUAUCCAUAGAAAACCUACCUUUACCAGAGUAAUCAAAUACAUAGGAGUACUGCUGGUGGCUAGCUUCCUCCACCCCUAGCAGCUGUUUCUCAUGGCCAAAAUCAAGAGCAAUCUUGGGACUAAGUAAAAUCUCUUUAUGGCCAUUUGUUCUGAAGUAUUUCUCACUAUCAAGAUCCAUAAUACUUUUAUAUAAAUAGUCUAAGCACCCUUUUGAAUGAGCACCAUUCAUUUCUUUCAUUAUAAACCCAACAGGAAUGGUAAGGAAACUAAAGAGUAAAUCAACAAAAUCAUCACCAACUUCUGCAUAACACACCCUUUUCUUGGAUUUGCUGAGAAAUAGCCUUGCAUAAAUCUUCACAUUUUCUUUUCGUGCAUUUUCCCUAAUAAGUUGGUGCCUAAUUACUGAACUCGCUUGAAAAGUUUUCUUGCCAAAAUCAGGUAAUUCUUUAGGCCUCAAGAAAGUUUCUGUUAAAGGAAAUUUUGAUACAAAUAAGCUUUUCAGCAAAUGCAAAACCUGAAACAAAAAAACAAAACCAUGAAAUUUCGUCAAACUAGUCGAUCUUUAACAAAUUAAAUCAUCAGUUCUAUUAGCUACCUCAUCAAAUCCAAUAUUAAAGACUCUUUCCUCUGUGGAACUCAUAUCCAUGAUUCCAAGCUUGGAAAUCAAAGAAAAGCUUGCAGCAGGUGACGAAGGCAUCACCUGUAACUCGUCGCUUAUUACAAACCGAGUAAAUUCUUUAGCAAAAGCUUUUCCAUCUAUUGAAUCCUUUGCUCCAAUAGUAUCUACUUUGGCUGGAACGAUCAUGGCAUUUCCGCAAUCACAAUAGCUACCUGAGUACUGACUCAGUAACUUACACUCAGUGGUUAAGCAAUCUGACGUCCCACAAUAAAAGUAUUGUGGAGUCUCGCUAUCAAUUUUCAGUUUCAAGUCCUUAUACUGAGUUGCAGACCCAUUUUUAGGGCGUAGCAGCAUUGUCUUACAUUCUUCAGUUCCGAAACGUUUGACAUCAAGAUUUUCAACACUUNNNNNNNNNNNNNNNNNNNNNNNNNNNNNNNNNNNNNNNNNNNNNNNNNNNNNNNNNNNNNNNNNNNNNNNNNNNNNNNNNNNNNNNNNNNNNNNNNNNNNNNNNNNNNNNNNNNNNNNNNNNNNNNNNNNNNNNNNNNNNNNNNNNNNNNNNNNNNNNNNNNNNNNNNNNNNNNNNNNNNNNNNNNNNNNNNNNNNNNNNNNNNNNNNNNNNNNNNNNNNNNNNNNNNNNNNNNNNNNNNNNNNNNNNNNNNNNNNNNNNNNNNNNNNNNNNNNNNNNNNNNNNNNNNNNNNNNNNNNNNNNNNNNNNNNNNNNNNNNNNNNNNNNNNNNNNNNNNNNNNNNNNNNNNNNNNNNNNNNNNNNNNNNNNNNNNNNNNNNNNNNNNNNNNNNNNNNNNNNNNNNNNNNNNNNNNNNNNNNNNNNNNNNNNNNNNNNNNNNNNNNNNNNNNNNNNNNNNNNNNNNNNNNNNNNNNNNNNNNNNNNNNNNNNNNNNNNNNNNNNNNNNNNNNNNNNNNNNNNNNNNNNNNNNNNNNNNNNNNNNNNNNNNNNNNNNNNNNNNNNNNNNNNNNNNNNNNNNNNNNNNNNNNNNNNNNNNNNNNNNNNNNNNNNNNNNNNNNNNNNNNNNNNNNNNNNNNNNNNNNNNNNNNNNNNNNNNNNNNNNNNNNNNNNNNNNNNNNNNNNNNNNNNNNNNNNNNNNNNNNNNNNNNNNNNNNNNNNNNNNNNNNNNNNNNNNNNNNNNNNNNNNNNNNNNNNNNNNNNNNNNNNNNNNNNNNNNNNNNNNNNNNNNNNNNNNNNNNNNNNNNNNNNNNNNNNNNNNNNNNGAAACAUUUAUUAAAUCUUAAAUUUAGUUUAAGAGGUAAUUAAUUUCCUAAUACUAAGCCAAUAGAAUGGUAAGUAUAGUAACCUUUGAUUAUGCCUUGCAAAUGAAUUCAUUGGAAGAUGUGAUUUACAUGCUUGACAGGGAUGCUUCUUCUCAUUAGGUUAAUGGGAUUGCUGCAAAUUUGGGUGUGUGCUCUAUCCCAACGGCGGAGCUGUGGGGUGUUCAUGAAGGUUUGAACUUGGCUAAAAGAUGUGGUCUUGCUUCUCUUUUUCUGGAAUGCAACAUUGAGUUUGUUGUGAGAUUGAUCAAAGGCGAAGUUUCUGUUCCUGUUAGUUUUCAGCCGCUAGUGAUUUUUAUCAAGUAUCUUCUCGAGGAGUUUGCUUUUGGUCUGGUUUCUCAACUUUAUAGAGAAACGAAUAUGUGCGCAUAUUGGCUUGCUUGCUAUGCGAGUAGUCUUCCAAUGGGUUUUAAUGAUCUUCUUGCUUUCUCCUCCUUGCUUCCUCGUGAAGUUAUGGGAGUAGCCUACUAUAGGCUUUAUAUCAAAGCUUUUGCCUUUUUUUUUCUACCAAAAAAAAAAAAAAAAUUGCAAACAUUUUAUAGCUCCAUGUUUUUUUUUUUAAACCACCGGUAUCUUGAUUUAUUUAUUAGGUAACUCAAUUUGAAACCAAGUGAUAAAAAAAGAUACAACUCGAAUUAAAUUAGUUGGUUUAGUUUUGAAUUCUUUAAGCUUAAUUUUGAUCGAGAAUCUAGUAUAAAUAUAUCUUUAAACCACAGCCAAACCAUUAAAAAAACUUUCAACUUUGCUAAAUCUAACUUUUUUUGUCACCAAAACUUGUCUAUUACUUAUAUUAACAUUCUAAAUUCAUCUACUUGAUUUAAUAAUAAAAAAUUAUUUUUAUGAGACUCACAGUCUCUCCCAUAAUUAGAUUAACAUAAGGAAUGAGUUAAUCAAAAACACAUCGGUUCAAAUUUUUCUCCAUCCCCUACAUCAGCCAAUCACAUUUUUCGGUUAUUAUUCGGUAGGAGUGAAGCAAUAAUCAUCUUUUCAUUCUCCCAAAUCACAACCCUCGAUCAAUUUUAUCAUUUAACCGCCUUUCCUAUGCAAAACGAAGAGAAGAAAAUUAUGCAUAACCUUCUUUUGCAAAGACAUUUGAUUAGUUAAUUAGGUUCUAAGACAUUUCUUUAUUCUUCCAGAGCUUAUCUCUUACAUUGAUUUCGAGUUUUACUUGGUUGUUGAUGAAAUUGCAUAAAUUGGAGUUUUUGGAAAUUGGAGAUUUUCAUUAUACCGGCCAAAUUGAAUUGCUUGUUUGUUAAAACACAUUUUAGUUAAAUAAUUGUAUUAUAAAGUGAAUUGAUACUUAGCGUUAAUGUUAAUAGAUUGACCUAUUUUUGUUUCAAUUUUUGACUUUCAUGUGGUUGUAUAUUUUAUAAAUUUGAUUUGACAAUUGAAUUUUUUUUUAUUUUUGCUAUUUUCAAUCUUAUACUUCUUUAAAGCAGUAUUUAUUUGUUAAUUAAUUUAUUUAAAAUAGUGUGUUUUGGAUUCAAAUAAUUACGUGAGAAAACGAGAAUCCCGAAAAACUUUUUUAAUACAUUAAAUCGAGUAAAAUUUGAAUUUGGGUGCUAUUGUAAUUAAUGUUUAAAAUGGUACCUAAAAAAAAAAAAAGUUAGAUUUAAGAUAUAAUUAAAACAAUUCGUAUAAGUUUGAGUUGAUUUUUAACAUAUGGAGUUUAUGUUUCGGUUUAAAAUACAAGCACUUUUUUUUUUUUUUUAUCAUGAAGCAAAAAAUAUUGGCUUAAACUAAAGCUAAAAAUAAAUAAAAAAACAAUUGAACCCAUAAAAAUCAAAUCAGUUCGGUUCUAAACACUAUUUCAGCUUGAUUCGGGUUUCAUCUUAAAAGUUCAGUUUGAUUUGAUUUAUUUUAAAACGAAUCAACGGUUCGCACAACCCUAUUUAACAACCCAAAAACGACAGUUCGCACCCCCGUAUUUAAAAGGCUGUUGCAAAGGUUUGCAAUCCCGGUUGAAAGCUAUCUACGCUGCGAAUUCCUGUCGUCAAAAAGAAUCAGACUCAAAACGCCAAACGGAGAAUUUUGGCAUUUUUUUCAUUUAUUUUUUUUUAACUGCCCUCCAUAUAAUACCGGCCCUUCACAGUUUUUAACUUCUCUUCAGUUUUCGUUCUGCCCUCUCUUUUCAGGUGCGUUUGUUUCCUUCUCUAGCACUCCUCUUCCUUGCUUCGCCAUAGAAUCUCUGUUUCUUUAACAAAAUCAACGCCUUCUCUCUCGCCGAUCUAUUUCUUCUAUAUUUGCGUAAUAAGCAGAAAUACGCAUAGCAGUAGUGCCGAUCUACAUUUUAAACCCUAAAUCUUCAUUUUCUUUUGAAUUGUCUCUAGGGUUAGCUAACCUGCAAGUUUCAGCCUUUCAGGUAUGCAAUUAGUGCCGUUGCCUUUUUCUUUUCCUUGUGUGGAAUAGUUUGGUUGCUGGGCAAGAUGGAUGAGGAAUUUGAGGUUACUGAUGGUUAUUGGCUAUUUUGUUGUAAAAAAUGAAAAUUUGAAACUUUGAUAUGUUAGACUGGUUUUUGCAUGUCUGGUUUUCCAUAGUCGUGUACUUAAAUUACCAUGAUUGAACAUUUCUUGACGCAAGAUUGUACGAGUUCCAUGAUAGGUGUAGCUUGACUUGUCUACAUGCGUUACUGCUUUUUCCCAAUAAUGAUUCCACAGCUUUUGUUAGAAUCAUACUUGGAGUCUUUUAAGAAUGGUUAUUUGUUACUAUUAUGCAUAACAUAUAUAGGUUUUUGAGGGGAUGAAUUGGAUGAGAAUCUAUGUGACGUUUUUUUUUUAUCAAUAAAGGAUUAGAUUAAAAGGAAAUACAAUAAUUAAAUCCAGAUUUUCAAGAAUCAUUUAAUUUACUUUUGCAUAAUAAGAAUAUAAAUGUGAAAUCAAUCUAGCUAAUCCUUUGCAAAUUUAGUAAUUUCUCAUUUUUGUAUAUAACGUGUACGCUAAUGUUGAAUUUCACACUAUUUUAAGUAUUUUAUUAAUUAAUAUAAUUCAAAUAAUUUAUAUACAUUAAAUACCAUGUGAUUAAAUAAUUAAUUUCAUCAAUAUAUACUUUGUCUUAUUAAGAUCAAAGUCAAAAUUAAUCAUCGUACUUGUUCACAUUCAACACUGCAUGCAAGUGAUCAAAAUUAUAUUCAAAUAAUUUACCAAAAAAAGAAAAUCCAAAGUAGAUUUUAGUAAUCUUAUUCUGCAUUUUUUCUUCAACAUAAACACUCAAUUGAGCUGCAUAAGAUGAGGUUUGUCCAUUGUUUUGUCUUUGUUUCUUUCAGACAACAGAAGCUUGGCUUAAUUCCAAGAAUGUACAAGGUAGAAGAAACGUCAAGGAAAUUGUUGUGGGCCGAGGUGCAAAAACGUAUUAAUUUCAGAAAAAGAGAAGAUAACAAGCUGUAAUUUAAUCUGGUCCAAGAUCGCAGAAAGAAUUUUACUGUGAACUUUUUAUGACAAGCAGUAUCAGACAAUGACGAUCAUAUCCACCAUUUCCAAAUCGUCAAGGCGACGAUGCGUUGAGUGUUGAUAUUUGACAACAAGGCCUUUCACUUUCAACCUUAAAUUUGUAUAUAUCAAUGUAGUUGAAUUAAUACCAGGUCGCAAGAUGGAUGAGGAAUUUGAGGUUACUGAUGGUUAUUGGCUAUUUUGUUGUAAAAAAUGAAAAUUUGAAACUUUGAUAUGUUAGACUGGUUUUUGCAUGUCUGGUUUUCCAUAGUCGUGUACUUAAAUUACCAUGAUUGAACAUUUCUUGACGCAAGAUUGUACGAGUUCCAUGAUAGGUGUAGCUUGACUUGUCUACAUGCGUUACUGCUUUUUCCCAAUAAUGAUUCCACAGCUUUUGUUAGAAUCAUACUUGGAGUCUUUUAAGAAUGGUUAUUUGUUACUAUUAUGCAUAACAUAUAUAGGUUUUUGAGGGGAUGAAUUGGAUGAGAAUCUAUGUGACGUUUUUUUUUUAUCAAUAAAGGAUUAGAUUAAAAGGAAAUACAAUAAUUAAAUCCAGAUUUUCAAGAAUCAUUUAAUUUACUUUUGCAUAAUAAGAAUAUAAAUGUGAAAUCAAUCUAGCUAAUCCUUUGCAAAUUUAGUAAUUUCUCAUUUUUGUAUAUAACGUGUACGCUAAUGUUGAAUUUCACACUAUUUUAAGUAUUUUAUUAAUUAAUAUAAUUCAAAUAAUUUAUAUACAUUAAAUACCAUGUGAUUAAAUAAUUAAUUUCAUCAAUAUAUACUUUGUCUUAUUAAGAUCAAAGUCAAAAUUAAUCAUCGUACUUGUUCACAUUCAACACUGCAUGCAAGUGAUCAAAAUUAUAUUCAAAUAAUUUACCAAAAAAAGAAAAUCCAAAGUAGAUUUUAGUAAUCUUAUUCUGCAUUUUUUCUUCAACAUAAACACUCAAUUGAGCUGCAUAAGAUGAGGUUUGUCCAUUGUUUUGUCUUUGUUUCUUUCAGACAACAGAAGCUUGGCUUAAUUCCAAGAAUGUACAAGGUAGAAGAAACGUCAAGGAAAUUGUUGUGGGCCGAGGUGCAAAAACGUAUUAAUUUCAGAAAAAGAGAAGAUAACAAGCUGUAAUUUAAUCUGGUCCAAGAUCGCAGAAAGAAUUUUACUGUGAACUUUUUAUGACAAGCAAUAUCAGACGACGAUGAUCAUAUCCACCAUUUCCAAAUCGUCAAGGCGACGAUGCGUUGAGUGUUGAUAUUUGACAACAAGGCCUUUCACUUUCAACCUUAAAUUUGUAUAUAUCAAUGUAGUUGAAUUAAUACCAGGUCUUUUCAAUCUAAAACAGAACUGAGUUCUAAUACUAUUUGCUUUAAAUCUUUGAAAAAGAACGGGGAGAAAAAAACAUGAGAGGCUUAUCGUUGUCAAACUAACAUUGUCGUUUAAAGAACUGAAGGGUAAAAUGAAUAAACUUACAUAUAAACAACAAAAAGCAAAGUUUUACUAAGAUAUAUAGAUCAAAAUAGGCAAACUCAUCACCAAUACAAUACUGAAACCCUCCUCCAUAACAUAGUCAAUUACAAAAAGCCACAAGUAAAAACACAGAUUCUUACUUAACUACCAACAAAUCCUAUAAUACAGUAAACAUGCCAUUAGUAUUCUUAUUUUAUCUUUUUCUGGAGAAAGGUCUCAGUUAGAGCAGAUUCAGACAUAAAAGAAGCUACCAGUAGUCGAGAAGCCUGCAAUACCAAACAAGUUCCCAGAUCACAGAAAGAAAAAUACUAGUAUAUAGUAAUUAUAGGUAAUUAAAGUUGCAAUCUUUCCGUUAAAAAAAGGGCAGGGGUAUCACUCACCUCCUCAUUCCCAACAUGAACAUUCAGCUCUUCAAUGUCAUUGAAAGGUAUAUUCAAUUUGUUUAAAACAGACAGACCGGAAAAUUGGGAUAUGGGUGUUACAAUCAGAUCAUCUGUUACUGUGAACACAGCAGGUCCCAUCACAAAUCCUCCGCCAGUUUUACCGCUCUUAUAUGUUGAUUUUGGAUGCUUUACUCUUAAGGCAAUGCUUGUAUUGCUAGUAGGUUUAUCCAAAGAAAUCCCAAUUUUCCACCCAACAUCAUUAAAAUAAGUCUGUUUUUGGUAGCACAGCUGGUGGGCAACUUCCUUCACCCCUAGAAGCUGGUUCUCAUAGCCAAAAUCAGGAGCAAUCUUGGGACUAAGUAAAAUCUCUUUAUGGCCAUUUGUUUUGAAGUAUUUCUCACUAUCAAGAUCCAUAAUACUUUUAUAUAAAUAGUUUAUGCACCCUUUUGAAUGAGCACCAUUCAUUUCUUUCAUUAUAAAACCAAGAGGAAUGGUAAGGAAACUAAAGAGUAAAUCAACAAAAUCAUCACCAACUUCUGCAUAGCACACCCUUUUCUUGGAUUUGCUAAGCAAUAGCCUUGCACAAAUCUUCACAUUUUCUUGUCGUGCAUUUUCCCUAAUAAGUUGGUGCUUAAUUAUUGAACUCGCUUGAAAAGUUUCCUUGCUAAAAUCAGGUAAUUCUUUAGGCCUUAAGAAAGUUUCUGUUAAAGGAAAUUUUGAUACAAAUAAGCUUUUCAGCAAAUUCAAAACCUGUAACAAAAAAACAAGCCAUGAAUUGUCGUCAAACUAGUCGAUCUUUAACAAAUUAAAUCAUCAGUUCUAUUAGUUACCUCAUCAUAUCCAAUAUUAAAGACUCUCUCCUCGGUGGAACUCAUAUCCAUGAUUCCAAGCUUGGAAAUCAAAGAAAAGCUUGCAGCAGCUGACGAAGGCAUCACCUGUAACUCGUCGCUUAUUACAAACCGAGUAAAUUCUUUAGCAAAAGCUGUUCCAUCUAUUGAAUCCUUUGAUCCAAUAGUAUCUACUAUGGCUGAAGAGUUCAUAGCAUUUCCGCAAUCACAAUAGCUACCUACGUACUGACUCAGUAACUUACACUCAUAGGCUAUGCGAUCUAACUUCCGCCAGUCAUAGGCUAUGCAAUCUGACUGCAGACCAAGAAGGUAUUCUGGAGUCUCGCCAUCAUUUUUCAGCUUCCCACAAAAAAAGUAUUUUGGAAUCUCACUAUCAAUUUUCAGUUUCAAGUCCUUAUACUGAGUUGCAGACCCAUUUUUAGGGCGUAGCAGCAUUGUCUUACAUGCUUCAGUUCUGAAACGUUUGACAUCAAGAUUUUCAACACUUGCAUACAAGUUGUUCAUACAACCUAUCGCUGUGAUUGGUGGCCGAUUAUUUGUGAGCCUGACGAUGGUUCCAAUAGGCAUUGUCAAAAAACUAAAGAGAACAUCAGCCAAAUCCUCAUCACAUUCAGCAAAGAUUAUUCUGUCGUUUGCCUUGUCAACUAAUGCCUUUAACUCAAUGGACAUUUUUGUUCAGAUAGUAACCCACACGGUUUGGAAUCUGCAAUUAUAAGAACAACUCAAAAUCACAAACAGAUAUCUGCAAUAUUUUUUUCUUCCUGGAAGGAACAUACAUAGUUCUUAGAAAAGUUGCCUAGAUAACAAGUGCUCAAAAUGCUAAUGUAGCAGCCCCUCUUUUUAAUUAAUCACAAAAGAGGUUCUUUUAAAAAAAAAAAAAAAAAAAAAGGAAAAAUAUAUAUAUAUAUAUUGGUGAAAUGUACAGCUUCAAGUUUUCAUUUCACUUGCAAAAUGGUUAAGAACAAAACAAUGAAAAACAGAAAAAGAAAAAAAAUCAGCAUUUGGCCUUUUUGAUCAUUAUAUAAUAGUGUAUAAGCUAAAUAAGUUGAGAUGUUGUGUCUGAAACUGGUAUUCCUGAGUCUCAGAAAUCCAACUUACUGCAAGUAAGCAGAUAAGUUCCAGCAAGAGUAAAGAACCGCCUGUAUAUAUAUAAACUUCCUACUGCCUUGCCUUCAUUCAGAAUAAAGCUACCUAAAUUCUGCAUAUGCCUGCCUCAACUCUUGGAAUUCUCUCAUGUUGUAUCCCAGCCGUUGAUUUGAGAGAAUGAACGGUAUGAAGUCAUCUUUGGAAAUAGCAUAAUAGAAGACAUGGAAGAGUGUUGUGAGAUACGAGCCUUGCCUUCAUUCAGAAUAAAGCUACGUAAAUUCUGCAGAUGCCUGCCUCAACUCUUGGAAUUCUCUCAUGUUGUAUCCCAGCUGUUGAUUUGAGAGAAUCAACGGUAUGAAGUCAUCUUUGGAAAUAGCAUAAUAGAAGCCAUGGAAGAGUGUUGUGAGAUAUGAAAAGAUUACGAGAGAGAAUUGAAAUUUUAAAAUAUCAAACCAUAAUAAAUUUAUUUUGACAACAUAAAAUAUCAAACCAUAAUAAAUUUAGUUUGACAACAUCAAGCCACUGCAAUAUGUAUAACAACCUUUUACUUUCAAAUGUAAAUUCUGCCUUGUAAAUGAAUUCAUUGGAUGAUGUUAUUUAAUUACAUGUUUGACAACUUUCAAUUCAGUCUUGCCAACCAGUCACUCAAUCUUCGUUAGUCACAAAUCAUGAGUGACCAAAUUGUAAGAAUUAGGUAUCUAUAAUUGCAAUUUAUCAUGCAUACAAGUGAUUCGUGCAAACUGACGUUGUCGUUGAAAGAACUAAAGGGUAGAAUGAAUACAAACGAUUCCUCAGUUACUUGUAUAUAAGCAACAAAAACAGAAUUUUACUAACAUAUAUGGAUCAAAAUAGGCAAACUUAUCGCCAAUACAAUAAUGAAACCCUCCUCAGAGGCCAUAACAUAGCCAAUUACAAAUCAAAGUAAAAACAUAAAUUCUUCCUUUUACAACGAUAUGCAUUAUAUCACAAUGACCAACAAAUCCUGUUUGCUCAAAUAUCACCAAAACGGAAAGGGUUUUCUGGGUUUUUCUUUCCCUGGAGAAAGCUGUCGGUUAGUGCAAAUUCAGAUAUAAAAGAGGCUACCAGGAGUCGUGAAGCCUGCAGGCAGUAUCAAACGAGUGCACAGUGAGAUCAAGGAAGGAAUAUACAUAGGUACAAUUGCAAUCUUUCUAUUAGAAACAGAUAGGGGUAUCAGUUACCUAUUCGUUCCCUACAUACGCAAUGCGCUCCUCAAUGUCAUUGAAAGGUACAUUCAAUUUGUUUAAAAUAGAUAUACCUGAGACUGGGGAUAUGGGUGUUACAAUCAGAUCAUCUGUUACAGUGAACAUAGCAUUUUUCAUCACAAAUCCUCCACAAGCUUUAGCUUUCUUGUUCGGUGAUUUAGGAUCUUUUACAGUUAAAGCACUUACUCUUUGGAUAGAAGGUUCAUUAUCCAUAGAAAAGCUACCUUUACCAGAGUAAUCAAAUAAAUAGUAGUACUGCUGGUGGCUAGCUUCCUCCACCCCUAGCAGCUGUUUCUCAUAGCCAAAAUCAGGAGCAAUCUUGGGACUAAGUAAAAUCUCUUUGUGGUCAUUUGACUUGAAGUAUUUCUCACUAACAAGAUCCUUAAUACAAUUAUAUAAAUGAUUUAUGCAUCCUUUUGAAGGAGCGCCAUUCAUCUUUUUGAUUAUAAAACCAAGAGGAAUGGUAAGGAAACUAAAGAGUAAAUCAACAAAAUCUUCUCCAACUUCUGCAUAGCACAUCCUUUUCUUGGAUUUGCUAAGCACAAGCCUCACACAAAUCUUCCCAUUUUCUUUUGAUGCACUUUCGCCAAUUUGACAUUUAAAAUUAAGGCUCGAUUGAUCCGAAGUUUCAGUGCCUAGUUCAGAUAAUUCUUUAGGCUUCAACAGAGUUUUGGUCAAAGGAAAUUUUGAUAUAAAUAAGCUUUUCUGCAAACUCAAGACCUGAAUCAACAAAAGAAAGCCAUGAAUUGUCGUAAAACUAGUCUAUCUAUCACAAAGCAAAUCAUCAAUUUUGUCACUUACCUCGUUUAAUCCAAUGUCAAAGAUUCUCUCCUCAAUGGAGGUCGCAUCCAGGAUUCCAAGCUUGGAAAUCAACGGAAAGCUUGCUGCAGUUGAUGCAUGCAUCACCUGUAAUUCAUCACUUAUUACAAAACGAGCAUGUUCUUUAACAAAAACUCCUCCAUCUAACGAAUCCUUUGACCCAAUAGUAUCCACUAUGGCUGAAGAGUUCAUAGCAUUUCCGCAAUCACAAUAGCUACCUACGUACUGACUCAGUAACUUACACUCAUAGGCUAUGCGAUGAGGACUAAAAAAAUGGCGAGAUAAGGACCAACCUCCUUAUGUUCCUUAGUAGCAUCAGCAAAACUUUAAAUUACAAAAAAUGGUGUUCUCCUCUUGACAGCUAUAGAGGCAACCAUGGACUCCGGUGAAGCCAAACCUUCUUUUGCAAAGACAUUUGAUUACUUAAUUAGGUUCCAAGACAUUUCUUUAUUCUUCCAGAGCUUAUCUCUUACAUUAAUUAAUUUUUGUUCAGAUGGUAACCCACGCGGUUUGGAAUCUGCAAUUAUAUGAACAACUCAAAAUCACAAACAGAUAUCUGCAAUAUUUUUUUCUUCUUGGAAGGAACAUACAUAGUUCUUAGAAAAGUUGCCCUAGAUAACAAGUGCUCAAAAUGCUAAAAAAAAAUCAGUGGUUGGCCUUUUUGAUCAUUAUAUAAUGGUGAAUAAGCUAAAUAAGUUGAGAUGUUGUACCUGAAACUGGUAUUCUUGAGUCUCGGAAAUCCAACUUACUGCAAGUGUAAGCAGAGAAGUUCCAGCAAGAGUAAAGAAUCUCCUGUAUAUAUAUAAACUUCCUACUGCCUUUGCCUUCAUUCAGAAUAAAGCUACGUAAAUUCUGCAGAUGCCUGCCUCAACUCUUGGAAUUCUCUGACAUUGUCGUUUAAAGAACUAAAGGGCAGAAUGAAUACAAACAAUUCCUCAGUCACUUGUAUAUAAACAACAAAAACAGAAUUUUACUAAAAUAUAUGGAUCAAAAUAGNNNNNNNNNNNNNNNNNNNNNNNNNNNNNNNNNNNNNNNNNNNNNNNNNNNNNNNNNNNNNNNNNNNNNNNNNNNNNNNNNNNNNNNNNNNNNNNNNNNNNNNNNNNNNNNNNNNNNNNNNNNNNNNNNNNGAAUCCUAUUUGCUCAAACAUCACCAAAACGGAAAGGGUUUUCUGGGUUUUUCUUUUCCUGGAGAAAGCUCUCGGUUAGUGCAGAUUCAGAUAUAAAAGAGGCUACCAGGAGUCGAGAAGCCUGCAGGCAGUAUCAAACAAGCGCACAGUGAGAUCAAGGAAGGAAUAUACAUAGGUACAGUUGCAAUCUUUCUAUUAGAAAUAGUUAGGGGUAUCAAUUACCUCUUCGUUCCCUACAUACACAACGCACUCCUCAAUGUCAUUGAAAGGCACAUUCAAUUUGUUUAAAAUAGACAUACAUAAGACUGGGAAUAUGGGUGUUACAAUCAGAUCAUCUGUUACUGUGAACAUAGCAGGUUUCAUCACAAAUCCUCCACAAGCUUUAGCUUUCUUGUUCGGUGAUUUAGGAUCUUUUACAGUUAAAGCAAACGUUAUUUUGCUAGAAGAUUUAUCCAUAGAAAACCUACCUUUACCACAGUAAUCAAAUCCAUAUUAGUACUGCUGGUGGCUAGCUUCCUCCACCUCUAGCAGCUGUUUCUCAUAGCCAAAAUCAGGAGCAAUCUUGGAACUAAGUAAAAUCUCUUUGUGGUCAUUUGACUUGAAGUAUUUCUCACUAUCAAGAUCCUUAGUACAAUUAUAUAAAUGAUUUAUGCAUCCUUUUGAAGGAUUGCCAUUCAUCUUUUUGAUUAUAAAACCAAGAGGAAUGGUAAGGAAAGUAAAGAGUAAAUCAACAAAAUCUUCUCCAACUUCUGCAUAGCACACCCUUUUCUCGGAUUUGCUAAGCACAAGCCUCACACUAAUGUUCACAUUUUCUUUUCGUGCAUUUUCCCUAAUAAGUUGGUGCUUAAUUAUUGAACUCGCUUGAAAAGUUUUCUUGCUAAAAUCAGGUAGUUCUUUAGGCCUCAAGAAAGUUUCUGUUAAAGGAAAUUUUGAUACCAAUAAGCUUUUCAGCAAAUUCAAAACCUGAAACAAAAAAACAAAACCAUGAACUGUCGUCGAACUAGUCAAUCUUUAACAAAUUAAAUCAUCAGUUCUAUUAGUUACCUCAUUAAAUCCAAUACUAAAGACUCUCUCCUCGGUGGAACUCAUAUCCAUGAUUCCAAGCUUGGAAAUCAAAGAAAAGCUUGCAGCAGUUGACAAAGGCACCACCUGUAACUCGUCGCUUAUUACAAACCGAGCACAUUCUUUAGCAAAAGCUGUUCCAUCUAUUGAAACCUUUGAUCCAAUAGUUUCUACUGUGGCUGAAGAGUUCAUGGCAUUUCCGCAAUCACAAUAUCUACCUGCGUGCUGACUCAGUAACUUAGACCCAGUGGCUAAGCAAUUUGACGUCCCACAAUAAAAGUAUUGUGGAGUCUCGCUAUCAAUUUUCAGUUUCAAGUCCUUAUAGUGAGUUACAGACCCAUUUUUAGGGCGUAGCAGCAUUGUCUUACAUUCUUCAGUUCCGAAACGUUUGACAUCAAGAUUUUCAACACUUUGCAUACAAGUUGUUCAUACAACCUAUCGCUGUGAUUGGUGGCUGAUUAUUUGGGAGCCUGAUGAUGGUUGUGAUAGGCAUUGUCAAAAAACUGAAGAGAACAUCAGCGAAAUCCUCAUCACAUCCAGCAAAUAUUAUUCUGUCAUUUGCCUUGUCAACUAAUGCCUUCAACUCAAUAGACAUUUUUUUGGUACAGAUAUUAUUAAUACACACAGUUUGGAAUCUGCAAUUAAGAAAACCACUAUCAUCAACAGAUAAAUCUCCUGCUAAAGCAAGUUUUUUCUUUUUGGAAGGAACAUAUAUAGGUUUUAGAAGUUGCCCCAGAUAACUAGUGCUCAAAAUGCUAACUGGCAGCUCCUGGUUAAUUAAUCAUAAAAGAAGUUCUUUAAAAAAAAAGAAAGGAAAUACAUAUAUGAUUCGUGGAGAAAAAUCACAGAAAUAAAGUUCAUCCCAAUCAAUAAUAUUAGAAAACAAUGGAAAACAGAAAGACUAACAGAAAACACAACAACAGAAAAAAAUCAUUGGUUGGCCUUUUUGAUCAUUAUUUAAUGGUCUAUAAGCUACAUAAGUUGAGAUGUUAUCCACUGACUGCAAGUUUAAGCAGAUAGGUUCCAACAAGAGUAAAGAACUGUGUAUUUAUAAACUUCUUAUUGCCUUCCUUCAGAAGAAAGUGCAGAUAUAUAUAUGCCUGACUCAACUCUUGGAAUCCUCUCAUGUUGUAUCCCAGCCGUUGAUUUGAGAGAAUCAACGGUAUAAAGUCAUCUUUGGAAAUAGCACAAUAGGUGAUACGAAAAGAUUACGAGAGAGAAUUGAAAAUAAUAUCAAGCCAUAAAUUUAGUUUGAUACUAUCAAGCCACGAAACAUUUAUUAAAUCUUAAAUUUAGUUAAGAGGUAAUUAAUUUCCUAAUACUAAGCCAAUGGAAUGGUAAGUAUAGUAACCUUUUAAUUAUGCCUUGCAAAUGAAUUCAUUGGAAGAUGUGAUUUGCAUGCUUGACAGGGAUGCCUUCUUCUCAUUAGGUUAAUCGUUUGCUGCAAAUUUGGGUGUGUGCUCUAUCCCAACGGCGGAGCUGUGGGGGUGUUCAUGAAGGGUUGAACUUGGCUAAAAGAUAUCAACAACAAAAACAGAAUUUUACUAAAAUAUAUGGAUCAAAAUAGGCGAACUCAUCGCCAAUACAAUAAUAAAACUCUCCUCAGAGGCCAUAAUAUAGCCAAUUACAAAUCAAAGUAGAAACAUAAAUUCUUACUUUUACAACGAUAUGCAUUAUAUCACAAUGACCAACAAAUCCUAUUUGCUCAAACAUCAUCAAUACUGAAAGGGUCUUCUGGGUCUUUCUUUUCCUGGAGAAAGCUCUCGGUUAGUGCAAAUUCAGAUAUAAAAGAGGCUACCAGGAGGCCAGAAGCCUGCAGGCAGUAUCAAACAAGUGCACAGUGAGAUCAAGGAAGGAAUAUACAUAGGUACAGUUGCAAUCUUUUUAUUAGAAACAGAUAGG